AGGACAUAAUGCACCUUUUUCUUGAAAUCAAUCUCUUCUGGUCCCAAUAAGGCGACAUUAAAAAUAUCCUCUGGUGUUGCAGGUAUUGAAUUACAGACCUAACUCCUCAUGCUCAAAUUUUCUUGAAACAUUUCAUCAUAUGGCUUUUUUCUUGUGAAUGUUUCCAUGAGCAUUAUGCCGUAGCUGUACACAUCACAUCUUCUAGAAACUAAUCCUACUGAUCCAUACUCUGAUCCAAUUUUACUAGAGUAAAUUAGUUUCUUAACAAAUUAAAUAAAUAAACGAAAGUAAUAUCUUUGUAUUUGGAAGAUAUUAAAAAUAAAAAAGUUAAAUCUAUCUUGCGUAGAUAAAUUUUAAAUAAAAAAAAUUGAAGGUAGAACGGGAAUGAACCAAGCGUUAGACAGUCAAAUGACACAAAAAAACUUACAGUUUUCAUUUUUAUUUUUUAUAAUUGUCGUAGAUGCAUGAAUAUAGAGUUUGACAUUGUCAAAUUUCCACAUUCUCAAUACCCUUUUUUUCAUGCAAAAUCUGUGAUAUGUUACAUUAAAACUAGCAAAUAAGAUAUUUAUGCUUGGCAAGCCAAAAAAAAACCUAUUUAAAAGUCUUGUACUUUUAAGCCAAAAGAUAUGUUAAUUACUACUAUGUUAUUUCGAUAAAUAACUUAUAUUCAUUCAAGAUAAUUUUAUCUAUUCAAUUUAAAACUUAAAAAUGAAAUGGAAGAUAUGAUAAUUUGUAUUGGAAAUGAAAAGUCUUGCAAUAAUCUAUUGUUUAAUACCAACAUAUUUAAUGGCAUUUUGGUCAUUUUAAUAGAGAAAAUGCUUAUAAGCACUUUUCUAACAAACACAUCAACUGUUUGUUUCAGUCUCAGCACUUCUAUCUAACCGUGUAAUUUCUUGUUCAUGAAAUCAGUUUCAGCACUUAAAAAAUAUUUUUCAGCACUUGGUGCUUAAAAGCUACAUUCCUAUUUUAGCUUAAGCCAAAUGAGCUCUAUAUUUCGAUGUUUUCAAUAUCAUUUUUUCGUGAAUCUGUGAUAUAUUACAUAAAACUAGGGAAAAAAAGAUUACGUACUAUUUGAUACAUUAGCACUUUAUAUUCGAUAAUAAAAGACAAAAAAGAAAGUUACCUGGUGCAAUAUAGCCCAUCGUUGCAAGUGUAUUGGUAUGAGCAAUAGAUUCUCCUUCUCCUAAUAACUUGGUCAGGCCAAAGUCACUCACAUGUCCAACCAGCCUUUCGUCUAGCAAGACGUUACUAGGCUUCAAGUCGCGAUGUACAACGACUGUUGCAUAACCAUGACUCAUGAUGGAGAUAUUCCAAAGCUGAUGCAUUAUGUCUAAUCUUUGGAUCAUAUUCAAGAAGUAAUCAUCAGAAUGUAACAAUUGCUCUAGGCUUCCAUUGGGCAUGUACUCUAGAAGAAAUGCUUUAAAAUCCAUGUUAGUACAACUGCUCAUAACUUUGGUAAGAUUUCUAUGGCGAAGUUUCCAACAUUAUUCAGUUGCUCAACUAACAAAACGUGAACUGUUGCAGAAUUUUACUCUACUACUGGUUGGCAAAUUAAUUGCAGAAGAGGUCUAAAUGAUUGGGAGAUGGAUGACAUAUGUCAGUUAUUACAGCAAUUGGAUGUUGUUGCUGUGGAAGAAAACAAGAGGG
rnacentral:lncRNA from 1 species